CCGAGUGAGGGUCCUUUUAGGGCCCAACCUCCCACCCGUGUCUACCGUACCGCGUUGCUUCGGCGGGCCCGCCAGAGCCUCGUCUCUGGCCGCCGGGGGGCUGUCUCUUGACGCCUCCGGGCCCGUGCCCGCCGGGGACCCUUGCGAACGCUGUCCUUGAAGGUUGCCGUCUGAGUGGAAUGAUAUAAUCAUUA
rnacentral:misc_RNA from 1 species